GGGCAAUGAUUUGCCAUCUAACUCCUUGUUGAAGAACCUUGUUAUGUAAUCAGCGUAUGUGAAUUGUUGAUAAACAGCAGGUCUGUUCGAUGAGAUUAGCUCUGGAAGUGGUCCGUAUAAAUUAUCUCUAAUUCUAGGGUUGUAGAAAACUGCGACUGAAACCCGUGCUUCUGACUUUCCGUUUGCUAGUACUCUGUGCUCCACACUUUUGUACACGUCAUUUGAUGCGAUCUGAAGCAAGUCACCGAUAUUUAUAACAAGAGCGCCGGCGACGGGCUCAACAUCCACCCACCCGCCGCCGUGCCGGAUCUGCAAACCGCCGAUAUGGUCCUGCAGCAGCACCGUCAAGACUCCAGGAUCCGUGUGCGAUUUAAUCCCCACCGUCAGAUCCGGCUGUGGGCAGUACGGGUAGUAAUGCCCAACCAUCAUCCGCCCUUCUCCGUACGUCGCCUCCUUAAGCCGCUCCGAUCUCAGCCCUAAUCCCUCACACAGCACUUCCUCUAAUAAAUACCCUAAUCUCUCCGUCUCCUUCGCCCACUCCGCCACCGCCGCCCUGCAAAUCGCUGGAAUAUUCUCCGGCGCCGCCGCAACCGGCCCUAGUCCUAUCUGAAGCGUGUCUCUCCAACUCGCCGCUUUUGCGUUGAACAGAUCGAUGUUCGACAAAUACGACACUCCGGUCUCGACGUCCCUCCGGUAGUACGGCGAUUUUGCCUCCGAUGGCAGCUCGUGAAAAGCCCUAAUCGAAUCAAGAAUAUCGUCGAGCACUUUCUGCGGAACUCCAUGGUUGAUGAUUUGGAAGAAUCCGAAGGUCGACGCGGCGUUUCGGAUCUGGCCGACGAUGGAGGGACGGAGGUCAGGGGAGUCGAGGCCGGCGAGGUCGACCGUCGGAAUGACGACGGCAGCGGAGGAGGAUGGGGAUUUAGAGCUUGGUUUGAGGUCGGAGAGAGUUUCUGGCGGGUGAAUGAAAAUGCGAGGGAUUUGAUUGAUGCCAGCGUCGAGAAGGCCCUUGACGCCAGCUUUGGUUUCGUCGAAUUGCUUCAAUUCUGUGGCUCG
rnacentral:misc_RNA from 1 species